CAAACGGCCCUUUUAAGGGCCAACAAAAUAUUCAUUAGAGAGUUG
rfam:Aedes albopictus isolate Foshan contig255703, whole genome shotgun sequence.